GCCCAGCUAGCUCAGUCGGUAGAGCAUGAGACUCUUAAUCUCAGGGUUGUGGGUUCAUGCCCCACGUUGGGCG